UACGUAGGGUGCAAGCGUUAAUCGGAAUUACUGGGCGUAAAGCGUGCGUAGGCGGUUUGCCGUGUCCUGUGUGAAAGCCCCGGGCUCAACCUGGGAAUUGCAUGGGAAACUGGCGGGCUUGAGUGUGGCAGAGGAGGGUGGAAUUCCGCGUGUAGCAGUGAAAUGCGUAGAGAUGCGGAGGAACACCGAUGGCGAAGGCAGCCCUCUGGGCCAACACUGACGCUCAGGCACGAAAGCGUGGGGAGCGAACAGG
rnacentral:rRNA from 1 species